rnacentral:rRNA from 1 species
GACAGAGGUGCCGAGCGUUUAGGCGGAAUCACUGGGCUUAAAGCGUGUGUAGGCGGAUCUGUAGGUACCUUGUGAAAUCCCACGGCUCAACCGUGGAACUGCUUGGUAUACUGCGGGUCUUGAGCCACCUAGGGGCAAGUGGAACAAACGGUGGAGCGGUGAAAUGCGUAGAUAUCGUUUGGAACGCCAAUGGUGAAAACAACUUGCUGGGGGUGUGCUGACGCUGAGACACGAAGCCAGGGGAGCAAACGGG